CGCCUGUUUAACAAAAACAUAACUUGUAGGUUAUUAUUACAUGCUAAACCUGCUCAAUGAUUUAGAUUAAAUAGCCGCAGUACCUUGACUGUGCUAAGGUAGCAUAAUCAUUUGGCCUUUAAUUGGGGUCUAGUAUGAAAGGAUUAAUUAAGGGAGUCUGUCUUUUUAGCAUUAUAAUUAACUUUAUUAGAAGGUGAAAAUGCCUUUAGAUGAAAUGAAAGACGAGAAGACCCUUAGACUUAUCUACAAAACUAUAUAGUCAUAUAUAUUUCGUUUUUGCUGGGGCGGCAAAGCUUCAACAUAAACAAGCUUUAAUUUUUUUUAUAUAACAAGUAUUAAUUCUUACAAGUUAAGUACCUAAGGGAUAACAGCAUUAUUAAAUAUUUAGAUUGUGACCUCGAUGUUGGACUAGGAAAAGUUAUAUUGAGAUAAUCUAACUAUUAGGUUCUGUUCGAACUUUAUCUCCUACGUGAUCUGAGUUCAGACCGG
rnacentral:rRNA from 1 species